rnacentral:lncRNA from 1 species
UUUUUUUUUAUUAUUUUUUUUAAUUUUUAUUUAUUUAUGAUAGUCACACAGAGAGAGAGGCAGAGACACAGGCAGAGGGAGAAGCAGGCUCCAUGCACCGGGAGCCCGACAUGGGAUUCGAUCCCGGGUCUCCAGGAUCGCGCCCUGGGCCAAAGGCAGGCGCUAAACCGCUGCGCCACCCAGGGAUCCCCGAGCUCUGGGUUUUAAAACUAAAAUUAAAAACUUACCUAUAGUUAACUAGCAUAAUUCUUAUUUCAGUGGAUCUUUUUGUCAAUCUUUCAGUCAAUCUUUUUGCCAAUACAACAUCCUAGGCCUCUAAAAACCUGCCCCAAGUGUUUCUGUGAGUUCCUGAGGACUGUCUCACAUGAGCGCAUUAGCAAAUCUGGUCAAUUUUCACCAAGUUAGAAUAAAUGAAGAUAAUUCAUCAGUUUGUAGAAUUUUAAUCCCUUUUUUUCUCUAUGUGUCCACUCCACUGAUUAUCACUACAUCUCCUGUACACUCCUAUAUCCACUGAGUCUACCCAGACCUGCCAGACCUAUCAAGUACCACCACAUUUUAUGUGCAUGACUGGAUACUGUUGCCAUCUCCUGCGGAUACCACCUUAUCUGCGGUAUGUAGCUGCAUGGUUUUCCAUGAGAAAAAGCAGACAUUUAAUCAUAAGAUUACAGAACAGUUCCCCUCCUCAAUACCUUACCACCGUAUCAACAGGGCUCCAGUAUAAUAAGAGUGGAUUACAAAUGAGAGAGCUGCUAGACACACACACUAUUUAAGAAGGAGUUCUUAGGGAAACCUAAAGACAACGGGAAGAAACACACACACAAAACCCACGAACAAACCCACAAAUGAAAGCAAAAAACCCUAGAGGGAACGAAAGCCUCUGGCACAGCUACAGCGAACAUUAAACAUAGCCCAGCUCCUGAUUAGAUUAAUGUUAACACCUCAUACUACAAACCUGAUACCUCAGUUCUUAUCACCAGGCAUAUCAUAUCUAGGUUUCAGCAAAAAAUUACAAGUUAUCCAAAAAGUUAAGACACUCAUCUCGCAAAUGAUACAAACAGAAAUAUCUGCCCUUAUCUAGUCCCUCUGCCCAAUAGCAGGGGAAUCUCGUGACCAAAUGAUACUGUGUGCUCUAAAGUGGGUGAAGACAAAAAAAUAUUCAGAGCCUCAACCUUCACAAAUUCAGAACUGAAUGAAACUCCACUUCUAGUGAAAUAGUCACAUUACCUGGGUUAGAAAUCAGUGUACACUUCCUAUUCCUAAUCUGUACAAUGGUGUUUUUUGUAACAUCCACCUUUAGUGUUGUUACAACAGGUAAAUUGACUAAUACAAAUUGGUACUUACAAGAGCACCAAACACAUAAUAAGCUCUCAAAAACUGGCUAUGACUAGUCACAAAAACUUAAAGUCAUUCAGAUAUCUAAAUUUCUGCCAUGUCUCCAGUUACUAUCAACAAUCUUGUAUUAUAGUGAAGAAAGAUUGUAAUUUGAUGUGUGGUAAUCGGCAAAUAACAGAGCUAGAGUAACUAAUUUUUUGACUGUAAAGAAGAAAUUUCAUUCACGCCUUUCUAAAUUCAACUAUUUUUAGAGAGCAUUAAUACAAAUAGUGUCACUGCUUCAUUUCUAAGAGGUUUUGAUGCCUUCAUUUCCCGGUGUUAAGCUAAGGAUCACUAUCAGCAGUAGGUACAGACUUAAACGAUCAACAAUUCUCUGGUAGAAGAGAAACCCAAUUCUUAGAACAGCAUGUCUCAAGGAUGAUCACCUUUCAGAGUAAAUGUGGCCUCAUCCUGAGAAGACAAUUUCUAAUUUUAAGGAAUCUAAGUGAAAUAUUUUGCUUGACUAUUAGAAUUCUAAAUUUGUGAUUUAAUUAUAUUGUAUUACAAUUUUUGUUUGUGAAUAGAGGGUGUAAUUUUAAGUUUUGCUUGGCCAUCCUUACGUUUCAAAUUCAAGUGGUUCUUGUGACUAUGGUCUUGGAGCAAGGGAAAAUUAUCUCCAGUAUGUCUUCCUUCCUACUAAAACCCUACACCAUUAAUGGCUUAGUAUAUUCUACCUGCCUUAAAAGACUCAUUGGUUCCCAUUUUGGUGCUUUACUUGAAAUUUGUUUUCUUGCUAUGAUGCUGUAUUCAAUUCUCAAUGACUAUUCACAAAAAUAAAGUAUGGUUUGGGUUAUUUUCAAUGUCAAGAAGUAUUUAUACUUCUGACUCAGCAAUUCUUAUACAUAUAUUCUCUCAAAUAGACACCCACAUAUUUGUUGUAACAUUUUUGUAAUGACAAAAAUGGGAGCAACCUACCUAUUAGCGGGAGAAAGGCUAAAUAAUGAAAUUUCUCUGUUAGAAUACUAUGCAACCAUUAAAAAUAAUUAUAUGGAUGUUAUCUAGGUUUAAAAGAAUGAUAUAGAUAUUUAUGUACUGAUAUGUAAAUAUGCUGAAACCAUAUUGAUAAAAAAAAGUUGUAGAAGAGUAUGACCUCAAAGUCUGUAAAAAAAAAAACAAACAAACAAACAAACAAAAACCACAUUUCCAUACACAUAGUGAAUUUACGGAAGGAUGCAAAAAACAAUCUGCUAAUGGGGAUUAGCAUGGGGGAGAUUUUGAUGGGGGAGAGGAGCCUCCCAUCAUAGAAUGGGAAGUCAUAGAAUUUGCUUCCCACUCUAAGAGCUUUUUAGUUUGAAUAAUAACUUUAUAAAAAUAAACAAAUAGAACGAUUUCAGACAUGUUUAGGUAUAAAAAUAAAUCACAAAAUUGUAAUUUAUUACAUUUUAUCUCUUAAAAAACUAUAUAUUUUUACAUAUAUUGAUAAAUGCAGGCAUAGACUAAUGUCUAGAACCAUAGAAAAAUAUUUUAAUUAGGAAUUAAAAUAUUAUUUGAAAAGGUAUUUACUUGAUAAAGUGCCUCUUAAGAUUUUGUUCUCAUUUUUGCUAUCUGAAAAUAUCCAGUUAAGUAUCCCAUCAUUUUUAGUGCCAAGAUUAUGAUUUCCUGAGGUGCUAAUAUAUGCAUUAGCUCAUAUAAUGCCUUUCUCAACAGCUCUAAGACACCGUACAGAUAUAAAUGAUUGACAAAACUGGUAAAAAUGGCACCUAGUAUGUGGAUAUUUUUUAAAAUCUUUUUUUUAUUAAGUAUAGGGAUGCCUGUGUGACUCAGUUGUUUAAGCAUCUGA